CUCCGUCCCGACAGCCGGCUCCUCCUCCUCCCCCUCCUCCGCCGCCUGCUGGGGGCGCUGCCCGCCGUCGUACGCGCCGCCAUCAUUCACCAUCUCGUCCAUCUGAUGACCAUGGAGAAACAUGUCCUGUGAGUAUAGCCUAGAAGAUGAUCCGAGGCAGAAAAUUUGACGGACAGACGAGACAGAACGGAGCAAAAUUGGAUGCAAUUAUGCUGUAUAGACGAUAUUGACACGGAUUUUGGUGAUUCACCUCCAAAAUCAAUAAGGAAUUGACAAGACGCGAAGAGGACAGACGAAUUUGGGGCUCUCCAAGGACAAAUCGACGAGUUAGACUGGAAGGGCCGAUAUUUAUUUGCCUAGAAUGUAGUGACUUCCCUCUUUAGACAUUAUAUUUGCCCAGAAUGUACGAUGUAAAUACCCAUAAAUAUGAGCGUAAUUUUGCAAAUAGAGUCGUAAGGAGUACUUGUAAGGGCAGGGACCUGAGGCUGAUAACCUAGUGUGUUACUGCUUUCUUCUA